rnacentral:rRNA from 1 species
GACGAACGCUGGCGGCGUGCUUAACACAUGCAAGUCGAACGCUGAAGACCUGGCUUUUGUUGGGUUGGAUGAGUGGCGAACGGGUGAGUAACACGUGAGUAACCUGCCCUCUUCUUUGGGAUAACGCCCGGAAACGGGUGCUAAUACUGGGUAUUCACUGGCCUUCGCAUGGGGGUUGGUGGAAAGGUUUGUUCUGGUGGGGGAUGGGCUCGCGGCCUAUCAGCUUGUUGGUGGGGUGAUGGCCUACCAAGGCUUUGACGGGUAGCCGGCCUGAGAGGGUGACCGGUCACAUUGGGACUGAGAUACGGCCCAGACUCCUACGGGAGGCAGCAGUGGGGAAUAUUGCACAAUGGGCGAAAGCCUGAUGCAGCGACGCCGCGUGAGGGAUGGAGGCCUUCGGGGUGUAAACCUCUUUCGCUCAUGGUCAAGCCGCAACUGUGGGUUGUGGUGAGGGUAGUGGGUAAAGAAGCGCCGGCUAACUACGUG